GUUAGAGUUAACUCCAGACAGGCCUGCCAUCAUUGAUCCAUGUAAGUCGAUUUGAAUGAUUCUGUAAUGCCCUUAAUCUUUAGGGCAAAAUUGGAAAUGAAAAUACACCUCAGAGAGCCACGAUGGUCAUAAACGAGUUUGAAAAGGAAAUGAAGGAGACGGAAACCUUGAAUUGCGUACAGACCAAAAAAGGAGGGAAAAAAAAAAACGUACGGCUGGAAUUCCUGGAUAUGAUUUCUUAUGUUGGAGAUGGCCGGUGGACGAUUACUCAGUGUUUUGGAUGCCAUGAUCGGUGUGUACCUGUUCCUGGACACAGUUUUCCCUAAACAGUGACCAUUUGUGUAGCAGCCAAACGCAAAACGCCAAAACAAAGACAAGGAGAGAGGAGCGAGAAACAGCUGUGAUGCCAAAUCAGAUUUUCGACAUGCAUGAUCAUGUGGUCGUUGCCGGCUUUAUAAGCAGCAGGACGCAAGCAGAGUUUGGACGCCUUGUGAAGUCGAGGUUUUCUAAUGAAGGACAGACUGCAACAUCUUUGUAAACACCCAAAUCGGUUUCAGAUCGUUUGCGGAUGAGGGGGUCACGGGGAAUCCUGGAGCCUAUCCCAGGGAGCAUCGGGCACAAGGCAGGGUACACCCUGGACAGGGUGCCAAACCAUCGCAGGGCACAAUCGCGUACACAUUCACACACCCAUUCAUACACUUCGGACACUUUAGACAUGCUAAUAAGCCUACCAUGCAUGUCUUUGGACUGGGGGAGGAAACCGGAGUACCCAGAGGAAACCCCCGCAGCACGGUAGGAAUCGAACUCCCAGCCCUGGAGGUGUGAGGCGAACGUGCUAACCACUAAGCCACCGUGCGCCCCUCAACUACAUCACGCCAGUUAAUAACUGGACUCAACUAAAGAUGUGUGCG
ensembl:lncRNA